GGCUCCAUGGCAGGCCCUCUGUGGCCUCCUCCCCUGAGCAGCUCCACAUCCUGAUGCCGAGGAAGGGCUGGACACAACCCCAGAGGUCAGGUCACCUCUAGAAGUCCAGGUGACCAACACACCUGGAGAUGCAGAUACCAAGCAGAUACCUUCUUCCUCGUAGGAUGAAUCCUUCAUCAAGGUAUCCCUUCUAAAACAGCUCUUUCAUCAUCAUUACACCUGUCCUGCCCCAUACCUUGCUGUCCCAUUCAGUGUUUCAUUGCCAGAGAACUGCCUUAACUUCACAGGAUAUCACCCAUUCACGGUGGAGCUGCAGGUUCCUGUCCUAUCUCACACAGCCUUGCUCUGGGGCUCGAUGAGAGACUGCUUUUCAGUUCACUCUUCUGAACAUGGUUUCUUCAUUGUUUGGACUAGAUAAUACACUACAGUUGAAGCCAGAACUCUUCCUUGCUUUGAAUUCCCCUGAUGUUGAGCUGAUUCUGCCCUUUUCUGGGUGUGUGAUGCCUGUCCCACCUCUGGUGUAAAGGGAAACCUGCUUUAUCAACAAGAAUAAUGUCUUAAACUGGGUCCAUCCCGAUAAAAUGCUCUAAUACAGUUGAAUAAAAUACAAUUAUUUAAAUCCUA